rnacentral:rRNA from 1 species
UACGUAGGGUGCGAGCGUUAAUCGGAAUUACUGGGCGUAAAGCGUGCGCAGGCGGUUCGUUAAGUCAGCUGUGAAAGCCCCGGGCUCAACCUGGGAAUUGCGGUUGAAACUGGCGGACUAGAAUCUGGCAGAGGGGGGGUGGAAUUCCACGUGUAGCAGUGAAAUGCGUAGAGAUGUGGAGGAACACCGAUGGCGAAGGCAGCCCCCUGGGUUAACACUGACGCUCAUGCACGAAAGCGUGGGGAGCAAACAGG